ACAGAGGGAUGCUAGUUAUCUUUACGGAGCGAAGAUGAAUACUCAUAUUUUGGUUCUGCUCACGGCAAAGUUGGUUACUUCGACCAGCACAUGCAAUGAAUGGGCAUCGACCACUCACAACCGCUCGGUUGAAGUGAACUCUACGUGGGAAAACAUCUACAUUUUUUUUAUCAGCGAAAAACAGAACACUCGCUUCCAAAUCACAUUUUCCAAGCCUAUGGAAAGUUUUGAUUUAAGCCUACAUGAAGCAUAUGUAUACUACAUAGGGAGAGUGUACCAUCAGGGUACUGUCACUGGUGACUGUGAAUCGUACAGUCCCGUAUGUAAAACUUAUUUUCAUUUUGGGGACGCAGACCAUUUGAUAGGUAGAUCGGGUUCAAGCAGUUUCCUUAUUUCAAGCCAGUCAUUGGUCUAUUACCUGACAUGUAGAUCACUUGGGUAUUUUCCCGAGGCGCCAGUGCUGAGACAGAACUUCAGUCUUCCAGACGUGAAACCUACAGAGCCACAGCGGAACCUCAGCCUACCAGGCGUGAAACCUACAGAGCCAGAACAAAACCUUCCAGGCGUGGGUCCUAAUCAACCCAAAGACCAAAACCGGUGUACCGCCCUGACCAUCGGGCUCGGGGUCGUAGGGACGGCGCUACUGCUCGUAUUGGCUUUCGUCUGCGUCGCCGGUUGGAGGACAAGGCGGGCAGCGGCGUCAGCGAAAGACGAAGCAGCAUCUGGCAACAGCACAGUUUCCUGCCACGACAGCGAGAACAGCACCUACGGGACAAUGGAAAUGACUCCUACCAACACCUGAAAACGUGACCUGGUGACCUACAAUUACAGAUCUGGUUUCAAUCCAGCAGCGAAGAGGUGACAUAACUCGGUGACAGAGCGCUGGCAUUGCAAACGCACGGUUUCAGGUUCGCAUGCUGGGGUCAAGGUCGCAUGGUUUCAGGUUCGCAUGCUGGGGUCAAGGUCGCAUGGUUUCAGGUUCGUAUGCUGGAGUCAAAGUCGCAUGGUUUCAGGUUCGCAUGCUGGGGUCAAGGUCGCAUGGUUUCAGGUUCGCAUGCUGGAGUCAAAGUCGCAUGGUUUCAGGUUCUUAUGCUGGGGUCAAGGUCGCAUGGUUUCAGGUUCGCAUGCUGGGGUCAAGGUCGCAUGGUUUCAGGUUUGCAUACUGGGGUCAAGGUCGCAUGGUUUCAGGUUCGUAUGCUGGAGUCAAAGUCGCAUGGUUUCAGGUUCGUAUGCUGGGGUCAAGGUCGCAUGGUUUCAGGUUCGCAUGCUGGAGUCAAAGUCGCAUGGUUUCAGGUUCGCAUGCUGGGGUCAAGGUCGCAUGGUUUCAGGUUCGCAUGCUGGAGUCAAAGUCGCAUGGUUUCAGGUUCUUAUGCUGGGGUCAAGGUCGCAUGGUUUCAGGUUCGCAUGCUGGGGUCAAGGUCGCAUGGUUUCAGGUUCGCAUACUGGGGUCAAGGUCGCAUGGUUUCAGGUUCGCAUGCUGGGGUCAAAGUAAGAGCUGGAAGGUAAUGACCACCCUACCGUAUCAUCCAGCUGCAUAGUAUUCCUUUUUCUCUACGGACAUGGGCCCCUACACCCACUCGGUUAUGGGACCGACUUUGACCUUGAGCUAAAUAACAAUUAAGUUUAUUACAAUUGUUAGAAUUGUUAUUCUGGGUGUGUGACAGGCUGUUUGUUUAAUUUUGUUUAUAAAUUACCCCAUGCGUGUUAUGCUUUAAAAUAUUUCACUCUGUUUGAUUUUUUAAAGGUUACUGUAAUUUUAGACUUUGUUAAUGUAUAAUGGGAGAAAGGGAAGUAGAAAGAGAAGGAGAUAGAGGGACAAGGAAAAAUAUAUAUUUCUAUCAUUUAAUCUAUCUCUCUAUCUAUCUAUCUACCUAUCUAUCAGUUUAUUUCUCUCUCCC